rnacentral:rRNA from 1 species
GGAUCAAUAUAACGGUCAUGCCGUUGGUAUGCACUGUUAUAAUUGGUUUCUCACCUUCUAAAGAACCUCGAUGUCAUUAAUUUGGUGUCUUGGGGAAUCAGGACUGUUACUUUGAAAAAAUUAGAGUGUUUAAAGCAGGCUCACGCUUGAAUACAUUAGCAUGGAAUAAUGAAAUAGGACAUCCGAUUCUAUUUUGUUGGUUUCUAGGAUCGAUGUA